rnacentral:rRNA from 1 species
CGGGUGCUACCAUGCAGUCGAGCGGAAGGCCCUUCGGGGUACUCGAGCGGCGAACGGGUGAGUAACACGUGAGUAACCUGCCCUAGGCUUUGGGAUAACCCUCGGAAACGGGGGCUAAUACCGGAUAUGACCUUGCUCCGCAUGGGGUUUGGUGGAAAGUUUUUCGGCCUGGGAUGGGCUCGCGGCCUAUCAGCUUGUUGGUGGGGUGAUGGCCUACCAAGGCGACGACGGGUAGCCGGCCUGAGAGGGCGACCGGCCACACUGGGACUGAGACACGGCCCAGACUCCUACGGGAGGCAGCAGUGGGGAAUAUUGCACAAUGGGCGGAAGCCUGAUGCAGCGACGCCGCGUGAGGGAUGACGGCCUUCGGGUUGUAAACCUCUUUCAGCAGGGACGAAGCGUAAGUGACGGUACCUGCAGAAGAAGCACCGGCCAACUACGUGCCAGCAGCCGCGGUAAGACGUAGGGUGCGAGCGUUGUCCGGAUUUAUUGGGCGUAAAGAGCUCGUAGGCGGCUUGUCGCGUCGACCGUGAAAACUUGGGGCUCAACCCCAAGCCUGCGGUCGAUACGGGCAGGCUAGAGUUCGGUAGGGGAGACUGGAAUUCCUGGUGUAGCGGUGAAAUGCGCAGAUAUCAGGAGGAACACCGGUGGCGAAGGCGGGUCUCUGGGCCGAUACUGACGCUGAGGAGCGAAAGCGUGGGGAGCGAACAGGAUUAGAUACCCUGGUAGUCCACGCUGUAAACGUUGGGCGCUAGGUGUGGGGGGCCU